AAUUUAUUACUGCCGAGUAACGCCUUGUAUCUAUUCCGUUAGGCCAUAGAAGGAAUAGUGUACGGGUGUUUUUAUUU
rnacentral:ncRNA from 1 species